UGGGGAAUCUUGGACAAUGGGCGAAAGCCUGAUCCAGCCAUGCCGCGUGAGUGACGAAGGUCUUCGGAUUGUAAAGCUCUUUUUGGCGGGGACGAUAAUGGCGGUACCCGCAGAAUAAGCCCCGGCUAACUUCGUGCCAGCAGCCGCGGUAAUACGAAGGGGGCUAGCGUUGUUCGGAAUUACUGGGCGUAAAGCGUGCGCAGGCGGUUUGGUAAGACAGAUGUGAAAUCCCCGGGCUUAACCUGGGAACUGCAUUUGUGACUGCCAGACUAGAGUGUAGCAGAGGGGGGUAGAAUUCCACGUGUAGCAGUGAAAUGCGUAGAUAUCAAGAGGAACACCUGAGGUGAAGACGGGUUGCUGGGCUGACACUGACGCUGAGGCGCGAAAGCCAGGGGAGCAAA
rnacentral:rRNA from 1 species